rnacentral:rRNA from 1 species
CAAUAGCGUAUAUUAAAGUUGUUGCAGUUAAAAAGCUCGUAGUUGGAUCUGUGGUGUGCGGUGGGCUCCGGGCACUUGUUGUCUGAGUAGCUCGCCGCUGCCAUCCUUGGGUGGAACCUGUGUGGCAUUAGGUUGUCGUGCAGGGGAUGCCCAUCGCUUACUGUGAAAAAAUUAGAGUGUUCAAAGCAGGCUUAUGCCGUUGAAUAUAUUAGCAUGGAAUAAUGAGAUAGGACUUUUUCGCUAUUUUGUUGGUUUGCGCGAAGAGGUAAUGAUUAAUAGGGACAGUUGGGGGUAUUCGUAUUCCAUUGUCAGAGGUGAAAUUCUUGGAUUUUUGGGAGACGAGCUACUGCGAAAGCAUUUACCAAGGAUGUUUUCAUUAA